GUGCAGAUGGCCGAGCUGGUCUAUGGCGCCAGAUUAAGGUUCUGGUCCGAAAGGGAGUGGGUUCAAAUCCUGCUCUCCACA